AAUUGAUGAUGUGGACAGCUCAUUGUUAAAGCUUUGUAUCUCUCCCAUAUCUGAUGCAAUGGUUCACCUCAGUGCUGCUGGAAAUGAAAAAUAUUAUCCCUCAACUU